CUGUGCUGCAGUGAUGUGCACCCUUACUUCACCUGCUCAAACUAGCAGACUUUCUUCCCUUCAUAACUGAAGUGUUGGUUUAUUGCUGACCUUGACCACUGAGGUAUAGCCAUCAUCAUCUGAGCAGAUUUCAUUUCCGAAGGCACUCCAAAUAAAAAGCAGUAUCCUGCAGUUCCUCUGCAGUAUCAAGCAUUUUAAAGAUGAACUACUGUGGUCCAAGCUUCAUCCCUACUCUUGUUACUGAGCCACCAUCAUCCUUGACAUAGCAGUGAGGCUGAAAGAUGGCACAGAUAACUGAUUUGCCAAGAGUAACACCACCAGAAACAUUUGUUACUGAAACUUAUCAGCUAACAAAACUAAAUGAUGUUGAUUUUCUGUGAAAUGAACUUUUCCACCAUCAAGACAGGUACAAGACUGAAUCCACGCAUGGAAUUUGAACCAGCCCUUACUGUAGUUCAUAUAGUAUCACAUGAGUUCUAUGCGACCACUGUGGAGCCAUUAUUCAGGUUGAACCUACAAAUCUUCAGGUGUCUGCCAUCUUCAGUAAUAUCUGAGUGCCCUAAUUUAAGGCAGGGAAUUAAACAUGUAGC
rnacentral:lncRNA from 1 species